UGAAUACUUGCCAUUUUGUUACAGCAGUUUGUUCAUUUUUAAAGUCUAGUUCUUCCAUGCUACUGGUCUAAAGAACAAGAGUUGGAUGUGCCUGUCCAAUGGAAGAACAGGUUAAAGGCUUAACGCCAUGGAUAUGAUGAAAUCCUGAUGAGAAAUAAGUGCUUCACAUAUAGUACUGCUUCUAGCAUAAAUAACUCAUAAAAUUUGUCUUGUGGAUUAUAUUUGGCAGGUUGUAACAUAUUUGCUCUUCGUAAAUUACUCUUGUCGAAUUACUUGCUAG
rnacentral:misc_RNA from 1 species